rnacentral:rRNA from 1 species
AGCUCCAAUAGCGUAUAUUAAAGUUGUUGCAGUUAAAAAGCUCGUAGUUGGAUUUCUUGCGGGGCAGGGCGGUCCCGGGCGCAAGCCCGGCGUACUGGCCCUCGCCCGGCAACUCUUGCGGCGAACGUCUCUGGCAUUAAGUUGUCGGGUUCGGGAGCCGCAUCGUUUACUGUGAAAAAUUAGAGUGUUUAAAGCAGGCAAUCGCUGUGAAUACAUUAGCAUGGAAUAAUAAGAUAGGACCCUGGUGCUAUUUUGUUGGUUUGCACACCAAGGUAAUGAUUAACAGGGACAGUUGGGGGUAUUCGUAUUUAGAUGUCAGAGGUGAAAUUCUUGGAUUUUCGAAAGACGAACUUCUGCGAAAGC